rnacentral:tRNA from 1 species
GGGGAUUUAGCUCAGUGGUGUAAGCGCCUGCCUUGCAAGCAGGCAGUCGUGAGCUCGAUCCCCG